AUACAGCUGACGAGUCCCAAGUAGGACGAAACGCGCGUCCUGGAU
rfam:Schistosoma curassoni strain Dakar, Senegal genome assembly, scaffold: SCTD_contig0000434